GAUGAACGCUAGCGGCAGGCCUAAUACAUGCAAGUCGAGGGGCAGCACGGGUAGCAAUACCUGGUGGCGACCGGCGCACGUGUGCGUAACACGUAUACAAUCUGCCUUUAACAGGGGGAUAGCUCGGAGAAAUCCGGAUUAAUACCCCAUAAUAUAUUGAGUGGCAUCACUUGAUAUUGAAAGCUCCGGCGGUUAAAGAUGAGUAUGCGCCUGAUUAGUUAGUUGGUGAGGUAACGGCUCACCAAGACGACGAUCAGUAGGGGAUCUGAGAGGACUACCCCCCACACGGAUACUGAGACACGGAUCCGACUCCUACGGGAGGCAGCAGUAAGGAAUAUUGGACAAUGCCCGCAAGGGUGAUCCAGCCAUGCCGCGUGCAGGAAGACGGCCCUAUGGGUUGUAAACUGCUUUUACACCGGAGAAAACCCCUUCUCGUGAGAAGGGCUGAUAGUAUGGUGAGAAUAAGCAUCGGCUAACUUCGUGCC
rnacentral:rRNA from 1 species